rnacentral:hammerhead_ribozyme from 1 species
AUCCAGCCGACGAGUUCCAAAUAGGACGAAACGCGCGUGCUGGAU